UUAUUUAUUUAUUUUUUAUUUCAAGUGCAGUAGCUGUUCUUAUCAGUUUAAUACUUGAUACAUCCUGGAUGAGAGGACUUUAUAUUAAAUGGAUUUUUGGGCCAUGGGAGUUGGAUCCAGAGCUUGCUCCUUCCCCUCCACACAUUGUCUUGGUAUUGCAGUGCUUCCAGGAAUGGUGCACCAAGA